rnacentral:sRNA from 1 species
UGUUCUAUUGUUUCUUGAUUUGAGUUGC